GCUCUUCAGAAAAUCUCCCCCACCCCACUGACACAGCCAAAGCCAAAGGCAGAAGGAAAAGCCAAGUAAAGGAGAAUGGAAGCACUCUGGCUGACAUGCCCAGCAGAGUCUCCCACCAACUCCUGCCAACAGUCAACAUCCACAGCCAACCAAUGCAAAUAGUGUUCCAUGAAAAAAGUGGCCAUUUCAACUUACAACUGACUUUCACAUGAGUGCUAC
rnacentral:lncRNA from 1 species